UCCGAAGCUGUCUCCUCCAGGAUCGACUCAGACCCUGCUUCCCCACUCUGCUCAGCUGUUCGCACCAGCCAACCACCGCCCCUUAGUUGAGCCCCAACCUGCUAUCCGAGAUUUCUGUAAAUAGUCCAACUAUAUGUAAAUUACUGAAAAUGAUGAACUCUUUAUUCUCAAAAGGUUAAAUUAGAUUCUUCUAGGCCGUUGACCAACCGUAAGCAUUGGGUUGUUACUGAAAUUCUCAAGAAAGCUAGAAUCUAUACACCCCCAUCGGUGGAUACUGCUGCAAAUGCAAGUGCCAAGAACGAAG
rnacentral:lncRNA from 1 species